rnacentral:lncRNA from 1 species
AAAAUUUAAAAUGUGUUAUUUUUUCAGGUUGUCAUCAUUCUAGUAUGUUCAUCUGCCCGGACAGUAUACGACUUAUAUGAAGUUAUUUUACACUUGAAACGCCAAAAUUUUCUCGAGGUUAUAAUAUUGUUUGUGAUUGGAUAUCUUAAUGAACCCAUUUUUGCUGUCACUCUGUUGUCCAUGGUAACAGACUUGAUUCAAGAUAAACUUGCAAACAUUAAGUGUAAAAUGAUUGCACAAAGAAAUCGUACUAAUGAUGAACGACUACGUUUUGAGAUACAGCAGCUGCUGAUGUUAAUGGAUAAUCGUCCGCUCCAGUUUUGUAUCUUUCCUAACUUGCCUAUGACGUUGAGGGUUUAUCUUGGCUUUAUGUCUUUUGUUACAAUUAACAUA